rnacentral:lncRNA from 1 species
UUUCUUGCUUGUUGCUAACACUAGUUGUAUUUUUUGCGUGUUUCCCGUUUAGAUUCUGAAUGAAAAUGGAUCAACGACUGAAUUUUCUCGUUCGUCUUGAUAGUCUGAGGAUGAUGGCAUGGGCGGGAGGAGGAAGAAGGGCAUCAAGGAUAAGAUCAAGGAGAAGCUUCCGGGUGGCCACGGUGACCAGCAGCAGACCGCUGGCACCUACGGGCAGCAGGGUCACACAGGAAUGACCGGCACUGGGGCGCAUGGCACCACGGCCACUGGCGGCACCUACGGGCAGCAGGGAGACACCGGAAUGACCGGCACGGGGACGCACGGCACCGACGGCGCCGGCGAGAAGAAAGGCAUCAUGGACAAGAUCAAGGAGAAGCUGCCCGGACAGCACUGAGCCCGUCCCACGGCAGCUACUUGAGAGUUGAGGUGCCGAUCUGGCCACCUUUGCAGAAUAAUAAGAUGGAGAUGCAGUAAAACAUCCCGAAAUAAAGUGAGCUAGCUCACUUGUAAUAUCUGAGUUCUGAGUUUGCUGCACUAGAAUUUGGGUUGCUUGUAUGUGCCCGGGACGUUUUGUACUCUGUACUUCGAUGUGUGAUUUUUUUUUGGUUUCACUGUGUAUGUAUGGGGAUGUGUAUCGUGGUAUAAUACAAUAUAUUUUGCCCUUUUACUUGAGCAACUUUUGAAAAUUUCUAGGCAAUUUUUGGAAGUAUCGAAAAAUAAGGCACACCAAAAAUACACAUACAGAUCUUGAAUUUACCAACUCAGAGGAUGUCGCAUGCGCUGUGGAUCGUUAAUGAACGGCACUGUCGGAGAUCAACAAAACAGAGUGCAUAGCGACCAAAGGAAAAUCCGCACCACCGAAAGUUUUCUUCUAUGCUCGAGCUCACAUGCACACUGAUGAAUAGUAAAAUAUAAAUAAAUAAAUUUUAAAGAUCUGAUUUUUUUUACACACACCGAUGAAUGUUUUACCUACCUGCAAAGUUUUCAUAAUGGAUUGAUAUUUGUGGUGGUCAGGGCAAUAAAAACAAAAUCAAUGCUUCAAAAUUAGUCUUUUUGGAGCAUUUGAUUUUUCGUUUUGCCCAGAGCUCCACGAAAGUGAUUUCAUCACGAAAGUUUGCAUGCAUGCAAAACAGUUAUUAGUGUUUAUUAAAAACGGACAUAAUUGUUUGAUUUUUCUUUGAUUUUACUGUUCAUAUGGGUGCAUAUAAGCUCGGGAUUAGAAGCUCCAUGUUCACCCACCAUUUAAUUGAUUCAUACACAAACUUUUUUUCUCGAAUACAUAUGAAUGUGCGUGCUUUAUAUUAAAGAAGAGAGGGGGGCGGCAAAGAGCCCUUCCACGACGGGUUUAGUAGUUCUUACAUACAGCCAACUCCAUGCCCACUCCACGUCUAAGUCAAUCUAUUGCUAACUCCUCGCGUCACUACCCACCGUUAGAGCUACUAAGAAACUAUCAAUGUCCGUCUUGAUAAUGCCCGCCGUCUUCCAUGAUCUACGCUCAACCUCUAUUCUAUGAAUUAUGCUUUUCAAAGACAGUGUGGCGCCGUCGAAUACGAUCGCAUUGCGGUGCUUCCAUUCAAGAACAACAAAACGAUCCACUAAUCUCUAGAUUAAGAGUAUGCAUCCCCAUAAGUUCAUCCACCAUGCAACUCAACAAAAAGCUCGUCUCGCUACACCUCCAACAUGCAACAACGUGCAUCACUGUCCACCCUAUACGCCUCAGAAGCGACAGUGCUCCAACACCCCUUGAGAUAUUAUGUGCCCCGAUCUACAUCCUCCCUCCCCGAGGCGCUCCCGCGGGCGCCCCGGGAGAAAACCCUAGCGCCGCCCCCUUCGCCUCAACCUCCUCCCUCGCUGCCGCCUGGGGCGUCACCGGCGAAAGGCCGUGUGGCGUUGGUCGCGGCGGGGCGGCUCUCUCCCGCACGUAGUUGGGACUCCGCGGGGCGUUCCCAUCUGCCUGGUGGUGCCGGGCGUCGGGCCGGCCCUGCCUCCGCUCCUUCUCCCCUCCCAGCAUCCCUCGCUGGCGCCGCCUCAUCCCCUCUGUCGGUGUCAAAACCGGCGGAUCUCGGGUAGGGGGUCCCGAACUGUGCGUCUAAGGUCGAUUGUUUGCAGGAGACGGGGGACACGAUGUUUACCCAGGUUCAGGCCCUCUUUAUGGAGGUAAUACCCUACUUCCUGCUUGAUUGAUCUUGAUGAAUAUGAGUAUUACAAGAGUUGAUCUACCACGAGAUCAUAAUGGCUAAACCCUAGAAGUCUAGCCUGGAUGACUAAGGUAAUGAGUCUCCUCCUAUCCGGACUACGCUCUCCGGUUUAUAUAGGCACCGGAGAGAUCUAGGGUUACAUGGAGUCGGUUACAUAGAAAGGAAUCUACACGAUUGAUCGCCACGCUUGCCUUCCACGCCAAGGAGAGUCCUCUCCGGACACGGGAGCCGUCUUCGGUCUUCGUAUCUGUACAGCCCAUCAGUCCGGCCCACGGAUAACAGGCCGGACGCCCGAGGACCCCUUAGUCCAGGACUCCCUCAGUAGCCCCUGAACCUGACUUCAAUGACGAGGAGUCCGGCGCGCAGAUCUGUCUUCGGCAUUGCAAGGCGGAUUCCCUUCUAUCCGGACCCCAAGGUAAUCUUCAGAUGUAACAAUUGUAUCCGGACCUGUAUACAUAACUGCAGAGGAUAUAUAAUAUUUCACGAGUCCGAUCCGCUGGCAACUUUUCGGUAAUAUGACGUCACACCUGCUCGGCCAUUAUUUUCGAAUCGUUCUGGCUGGCCCGCCGUCCCACGUUUCGAGACGUGGUUCUAUUGGCACGUCUUAUCCAAGCGGCGAUCAUGUCCUUCUUUUAAGGGAUUCUUAUCAACCCAGACAUGGGUAAUCCAACCGUCACUUGGGCACAACUGCUUGGGAAUGGGCAAGUUUUGAGGCCCAGGAGGAGACGUUCGAUAUUUGCGGUCUUUAUAUAGGGGUACAGACCCGUCUUUUUCUUUCACGCUUGCUUCUCCCUCAACCCCCGCUACCUCGAGUUCCAACACCCGGGUUUCAAUCUCCACAAGCUCCAAUCAUGUCCGGAUCCAACCGUCAAGGCCGGUGGGUGGCUUCUUCUAUCACAGAGGGAGAGAUCGCAAAGCUUCGGGCGGCGAGGUACUUGACCGCGGAAAUCCUUCAUCGGCUUCCUGCAGAGGGGUAGGUUAUUCCCACUCCCAGAUCCAGCGAGAGGGUCGUGUUCGUGUCCCACUUCCUACGCGGGUUAGGGUUUGCACUUAACCCCUUUGUCCGGGGGCUCAUGUUCUAUUAUGGGCUAGAUUUUCAUGAUCUGGCCCCGCACUCAAGCCUUCCUCCGAACUCCUCCGCACUUCGGCUUGUGGCUCAAGACCUUCAAGGUGGAGCCGCUAGUGACAGAGGGGGAGCAAGUAGAGUGCGGCGGCGCCGUAGUGAGCAAGCUUGCUAGCGCUGUUUGGCUGAAAGGAUCCUUUGGCAAGUCUUCAGAUCUGUGGCAGCAGGGGUGGUUCUACAUCAUCGAACCCCGUGGCUCCAAGUGGGCAGCUGCACCCGCAUUUCGAUCCAGCCCCCCAACUCAGCCUGCGUCGUGGAUCAAUAAGGGGUUGGACUGGAGAGCAACGGACGAGGUGCAGACUUUGCAAAGUCGCAUCCGAAACCUCAUUGAGAGGGACAUCAACAUCGUCAACGUUGUCCAAGUAAUGCUGGACCGCCGGACCCUACCGUUCCCGUGAGGGCCACUCCGCACGUGGGAGUUCAAUCCGGAAGGGCCGCGGACUCUUCAGCACUUCUUCGGCACUACACACGAAGGAAUGUGGAGAUUAUUCUUCGGGAAACGAAAACAAUGGCCGGACACCACCGAAGAUAUCGGCCUUGACUGCAGCCAUCCGGACACCCCGGUAAGUACCCGUUUGCCGAACACCUCAUAAUCAGAUACCCAUUGAUAAGAUACUGACUGAAUCAUCCUUUUUCAGGGCUGGAUAAAGAAAGUGGAACGGAUUAGGUGUCCGGCUCCCCUUCCCGAAGACUCAGCUACUCCUAUGUUAACAAGGAUGCUGGCCUCGACACCGUAUCAGGCGCCGGCGAGGGGGGUAAAGAGGAGAGUAAAAAGACCCAAGAUGACCUUCGUUCCGGAGGUAAGUCAGAUACUGAGUCGGGAGAAAUCGACCUUUCCUCGCCUGAAGACAGAGGCAAAAAAGGACCCAGCAUCCCUUCUCCGAGUAGGAGGAAAAGGGCCGCCUCUGAAGAUUGGGAGGGGCGGUCUCCCAAGAAGGGCAAGAUGCCACCGUUGAGAGGCUUGGGCUUGGAAAGCGACGCCGUCGAACGGCUCCAACAAGGGGACAAGCCCUCGGCCAAACCGUAAGUGAAUCCGGAGUACUUUGACAAUGUCCCGCUCCGUCGCUAUCGCCGAAGAUAUACGUGACGCGUUCAUGCAUUUUUACAGGUCGGCACAGAGUUUUUCUGGGCAAUCCUCUUCUUCGGGAAGUCUCCUCCCAGAGAUGAUGGAGAGCGAGAUGCCUCCUCCAACCUCCUCUCCCAGUAAGGCGGAUGACUCUGAAGUGUCAUCGCGGAGGGUCCCGGUUAGUCAACAGGUUACACCGGGGAAAGAAGAGGUAGUAACCGAAGGUGGAUCUCCAACCAUCCGGGAUUCUGGGGCUGAUGAUAACAAAGGCCCCGGACUGUCUGGCCCGCAGCCGACAGCGAUUCUGGAGAUGGGUGAACAGAUUCCUUCAAAGGAUGGUCGGGCUUCUAGAGCGGCUUCCGAAGACCCAGAGACUCCGGAUAUAUUGCGGGACAUGUUGGGAAAAGCAUCUGUCUCGGGAGAGCAGCGUACCUUGAUGGGUACAUUGGUUGAGAAGACUUUGUCCGCGAAGAGCGGUUUGAAUGAAGCCUUCAUGAGCCUGCUAAAAGGCUUCGAGGUUUGUGAUCAAAUAUGUUUUAUUUGCAAAGAUGUGCCUGUGUAUAGGUAGUAGCCCCUGAGACUCGGGUUGGCUUCCACUGGGAAGCAACCGGAGGAUCAAAAAAAUGAUCGUUUGAGGACUAACCUGAUAAACUUGAACACAGGCUGCUUCCCCUUUGGCCACUUCCUGGACUACGGAGAUUGUCGAGCUGCAGCGGAAGCUUGAUGUGGCAGGGGAUGAUCUUGCAUUAAUCAAUAUGCGUCUUGACGAGUCGCAAGGUAUGUACUCGGGGUAAUCCCCAGACAUUUUAUGUGGUAUAAGCAUGAUGCUGAAAUCUGAAUGCUGGAAUAUGUGUGGCUGCAGAUGGUGCUGCCGCCAUUGAAGUUCUUCGAGCGGAGCUGGCUCGGGCCAAGGAGCAGGCCCGACAUAGCGAUGCUGCUGCCGAAAAGGCAUCGGCUGAGCUAAAAGCUGAACAAGCUGCACGGCGCCAAGAUGAGGAGAAGAUAUCCACGGUGGCGCUCGAACUGGAAAAUGCUACUGGCCGCUGCAAAUUUCUGGAGAAGGAGAAUAAAGCCUUAACGGCUGAACUGGACAAGGCCUUACUAGAGGAGAGGGAAGCUCAAUCGGAAUCCAGAGCAACCCUUGAGGAUGUUCGGCAGGCUAGGGAGAUUGUGGCUGGGAAGCCCUUUCUGCUGCAAACUAAGUUCGGUGACCCGAACUAUGCUCAGCUUAACGAAGUGUCGAGUUCUCCGGACGAGUUCUUGAACUUGUCGAAGAGUUCUUCCGAUGCGGCGCAAUAUUACCAAGUGCGAGAUGGGUAUGCAACGGAGAAGCUUUUUUGGUCGCAGUUUGGCACAUCAAAGCGCCCCCUGUUGCUCAAUGAACAGAUGUCCCAAUGGGCCGAACUUCAUCGGAUAUCCAGUGCUGCCAUGAAGGAUGUCAUAAUCCGGUUGUGGCCAACUGAGCCUAUUCCGGAUAGCUACUUUGGUUUGGUACAAAGACUUGUUGACGCGGUGCUGCAAAUCGAUGCUGUGAAGCGGUCAGCGUGCAUUGAAGGUGCACGGAUGGCCUUUGCCCGAGUCAAGACAUUCUGAGGAAAGAUGAAGGCCAUCGAUGUUGCGGCGAAGAGUCCACCCAAAGGCAAGGACCGUCCAGAACCGGAACAUUAUUUUGAAGAUGUCCUAGAGGCCGCCCGCUUCAUAGAGGGCCAGUGCUCGAAAGACAUAAUAUUUGAGUGAGGUGUAUCAAAAUUGUAGAAGAAAAAUUUAUAGUUAAUCUAUUUUCAUGUUUUGCUCGAAAGCUUGAAUUCCUCGUGUGUGGCCGUGUUAAUAUAAUCUGAAAGUUUUCCAGUCGUCAGCUUCAGCCCCCUUGUAGGAAGUACGGGGGUGUUCGGAAAGCAUUUAAUCACUCUUUAUCCAACGUCUUGGUCCAUGAAGGAGGUGAUAAUGCGGCGAACUAGGCAAUCGGACUAUAAGGCAUUAACACUUUCACUUAGCCAUAGGAGUUUUAUGGUGGGACUACGACAUAGCCCCUCGUAUGUAUGCGGCGUAUGAUGCCUUACAUAUUUGAUCUGAAACAGAUCCCUCGUGUGACAGGAGAAUCGCUAAGGAUUCCAAGAAGUCAUCAAGUGGUUGACCAGCUCUCGCCGCAUCAUGACAGUCAGUUUUCGGCUUUCUCUACCGAGGUCCUCAUCCGGUUUAGACCAGGGCACAAUCGCAGUAGUUCUCCCUUUACUACCCUAGCCGAUAGAGCGGAACGUAGGGUAGCAAGCACAGGAGCCGGGCAACCCAACUAUUGACCCAAGACAAUGAUUCGGAGCUGAUGCAUAUAAGGCCAAACUUGCGACGCCGAAGUACACUAUAGAGUUGUUCAGACUUUUACUGGCGACUCAUUUGUUCCCACACCGAGCCCCUGGCAUGUUAUGCCAAGGUAUUUCUGUGAAAUAACUGUAGGAGCCAUAUUUGUUGGAGAAACAACACGGAUUAUUAGUUCGGAUACUGUUUACUAGGACUGAGCGAUAUGCCAAUGAUCACUUAUGAUAUAUAAAAGCCAUCCUCCCGGCUAUUUGACAUGCUCGGGGUUGGAGGCGGAGGAACGGGCAUAGUACAGGCUCAAAAAAUAGAGAAUGCGGUCUACAAAAAGUUAUUUUGGACCUCCUGUCGCACGUCUGCGCCGCCAGUCGUCGGUGGGGGGAAUCCUUUAUGGAAAUGGCCCCGUAGGUGAGUGUACGGAUCCGGACUCCGAUAGAGCCAGUUUCAGAUGUUUAUCCUGUUCGUCACCUAUUUUUAAAAGGAUAGCGAAGGAAGAAAUAAAAAGAUAAUAAAUAAUAAUAAUAAAAAGUUAUUGGAGUGCUUGCAGGUUUGUCCGUAUUGUGAUUCCGCCAAUACCCAUGGUAUCUUGAUCCCCGGGUAUGCGUAGUACAAACUUUGUAGGUGCACGGAGUGGGCCGCGGAAGCCGGGUUGCUAUUUCCGUUCUAGGAGUAGUUGAUCCCCGGGUGGAGAUUGCUUCUAACCCCCGGAGUUUCGUUGGCGAACCUUUCCGUCAUUCCUGUCGCCUGGCGGCUUCUUCCCCUUCUGCUCGGCGUUGAGCUUGCCGGCUUGUUUGAAGACCCUGCAGUUUCUGUUAGUAUGAUUAGCUGGUUUGUCGGGGUGGCCGUGAAUCUGGCAGGGUCGGUCCAAUAUCAUGUCCAGGUUGGAUGGUUCGUCUUGUUUCGCCUUGAAUGGCUUCUCCCGUUGACCGGGCUUGGGAUUGCUGAAUCCGGCGUUGACCGCCGUGUCGCGUGAUCUUUCAUUAUCAUUGCGACUGUUUUUUUGCUUCGUCGUGGCUUGCCGUUGCCGUCUCGGAUUUCGGAAAUGCCCGGGUCGUUGGCGCUAUCGCUUCUACGAGCGAGUGAUACGUCUCCAACGUAUCUAUAAUUUUUUAUUGUUCCAUGCUAUAUUAUAUUCUGUUUUGGACAUUAUUGAGCUUUAUUAUACACUUUUAUAUUAUUUUUGGGACUAACCUAUUAACCGGAGGCCCAGCCUAGAAUUGUUGUUUUUUUGCCUAUUUCAGAGUUUCACAGAAAAAGAAUAUCAAACGGAGUCCAAACAGAAUGAAACCUUCGGGAACGUGAUUUUCGGAACGAACGUGAUCCAGAGGACUUGGACCCUACGUCAAGACAUCAACCAGGAAGGCACGAUGUAGGGGGGCACGCCUACCCCCUCAGGGCGCGCCCUCCACCCUCGUGGGCCCCACGUUGCUCCACCGACGUACUUCUUCCUCCUAUAUAUACCUAAGUACCGCCAAACUACCAGAUACGGAGCCAAAAACCUAAUUCCACCGCCGCAACAUUCUGUACCCGUGAGAUCGCAUCUUGGGGCCUGUUCCGGAGCUCCGCCGGAGGGGGCAUCUAUCACGGAGGGCUUCUACAUCAACACCAUAGCCUCUCCGAUGAAGUGUGAGUAGUUUACCUCAGACCUUCGGGUCCAUAGUUAUUAGCUAGAUGGCUUCUUCUCUCUUUUUGGAUCUCAAUACAAUGUUCUCCCCCUCUCUUGUGGAGAUCUAUUCGAUGUAAUCUUGUUUUGCGGUGUGUUUGUUGAGACCGAUGAAUUGUGGGUUUAUGAUCAAGUUUAUCUAUGAACAAUAUUUGAAUCUUCUCUGAAUUCUUUUAUGUAUGAUUGGUUAUCUUUGCAAGUCUCUUCGAAUUAUCAGUUUGGUUUGGCCUACUAGAUUGAUCUUUCUUGCAAUGGGAGAAGUGCUUAGCUUUGGGUUCAAUCUUGUGGUGUCCUUUCCCAGUAACAGUAGGGGCAGCAAGGCACGUAUUGUAUUGUUGCCAUCGAGGAUAACAAGAUGGGGUUUAGAUCAUAUUGCCUGAGUUUAUCCCUCUACAUCAUGUCAUCUUGCUUAAAGCGUUACUCUGUUCUUAUGAACUUAAUACUCUAGAUGCAUGCUGGAUAGCGGUCGAUGUGUGGAGUAAUAGUAGUAGAUGCAGGCAAGAGUCGGUCUACUUGUCUCGGACGUGAUGCCUAUAUACAUGAUCAUACCUGGAUAUUCUAAUUACUAUGCUCAAUUCUGUCAAUUGCUCAACAGUAAUUUGUUCACCCACCGUAAUACUUAUGCUCUUGAGAGAAGCCACUAGUGAAACCUAUGGCCCCCGGGUCUAUUUUCCAUCAUAUUCAAUCUCCCGACAACAACCUAUUUCUGACGCCAUUUUUACUUUGUUUACUUUACUUUGCAUCUUUAUCAUAAAAAUACCAAAAAUAUUAUCUUAUCAUAUCUAUCAGAUCUCACUCUCGUAAGUGACCGUGAAGGGAUUGACAACCCCUUUAUUGCGUUGGUUGCGAGGAUUUAUUUGUUUGUGUAGGUGCGAGGGGCUUGCGCGUGGCCUCCUACUGGAUUGAUACCUUGGUUCUCAAAAACUGAGGGAAAUACUUACGCUACUUUGCUGCAUCACCCUUUCCUCUUCAAGGGAAAACCAACGCAGUGCUCAAGAGGUAGCAAGAAGGAUUUCUGGCGCCGUUGCCGGGGAGUCUACGCAAAAGUCAACAUACCAAGUACCCAUCACAAACCCUUAUCUCCCGCAUUACAUUGUUUGCCAUUUGCCUCUCGUUUUCCUCUCCCCCACUUCACCCUUGCCGUUUUAUUCGCCCUCUCUUUUCCAUUUGCCUCUUUUUGCCUGUCUCCUGUUUGCUCAUGUGUUGGAUUGCUUGCUUGUCAUGAUGGCUCAAGAUAAUACUAAAUUGUGUGACUUCACCAAUACCAACAACAAUGAUUUCCUUAGCACUCUGAUUUCUCCUCUUACCGAUACUGAAUCUUGUGAAAUCAAUGCUGCUUUGUUGAAUCUUGUCAUUAAAGAUCAAUUCGCCGGCCUUCCUAGUGAAGAUGCCGCUACCCAUCUAAAUAGCUUCGUUGAUUUGUGUGAUAUGCAAAAGAAGAAAGAUGUGGAUAAUGAUAUUGUUAAACUGAAUCUAUUUCCCUUUUCGCUUAGAGAUCGUGCUAAAGCUUGGUUUUCAUCUUUGCCUAAAAAUAGUAUUGAUUCUUGGAAUAAGUGAAAAGAUGCUUUUAUCUCUAAAUAUUUUCCUCCCGCUAAGAUCAUCUCUCUUAGAAACGAUAUUAUGAAUUUUAAGCAACUUUCAUGAACAUGUUGCACAAGAUUGGAGAGGAUGAAAUUAAUGAUACGUAAUUGCCCUACACAUGGUUUGAAUUUAUGGAUGAUUAUACAAAUUUUUUAUGCCGGAUUGAAUUUUGCUUCUAGAAAUCUUUUAGACUCGGCCGCGGGAGGCACUUUUAUGGAAAUCACUUUAGGAGAAGCUACUAAACUCCUAGAUAAUAUUAAGGUUAAUUAUUCUCAAUGGCACACUGAAAGAUCUACUAGUAAAAAGGUGCAUGCGGUAGAAUAAAUUAAUGUUUUGAGUGGAAAGAUGGAUGAACUUAUGAAAGUAUUUGCUACUAGGAGUGUUUCUUCUGAUCCUAAUGAUAUGCCUUUGUCUACUUUGAUUGAGCAUAAUAAUGAAUCUAUGGAUGUAAAUUUUGUUGGUAGGAAUAAUUUUGGUAACAACGCGUAUAGUAGAAACUUUAAUCCUAGGCCUUAUCCUAGCAAUUCCUCUAAUAAUUAUGAUAAUUCCUACAACAAUUCUUAUGGAACUUUAAUAAGAUGCCCUCUGAAUUUGAGACUAGUGUUAAGGAGUUUAUGAAUUCACAAAAGAAUUUCAAUGCUUUGCUCGACGAAAAAUUGCUUAAAGUUGAUGAAUUGGCUAGGAACAUUGAUAGAUUUUCUCUUGAUAUUGAUUCUUUGAAACUUAGAUCUAUUCCACCUAAGCAUGAUAUCAAUGAGUCUCUCAAAGCCAUGAGAAUUUCCAUUGAUGAAUGCAAAGAAAGAACCGCUAGGAUGCGUGCUAAGAAAGAUUGCUUUGUAAAAGCGUGUUCUUCUAGUUCCUACGAAAAUAAAGAUGAAGAUCCAAAAGUUAUUGAUGUGUCCCCUAUUAAACCUUUGUUUAGAAAUAUGAAUCUUGAUAAUGAUGGGACUGAAUAUGAUCCACCUCUACCUAGAAGGUGUUCCAAAAAUUCGGAGUUUUUAGACCUUGAUGCUAAAAUUGGUAAAAGUGGGAUUGAAGAGAUCAAAACUCUAGAUAUUAAUGAACCCACUAUUUUGGAUUUCAAGGAAUUUAAUUAUGAUAAUUGCUCUGUGAUAGAUUGUAUUUCCUUGUUGCAAUCCGUUCUAAAUUCUCCUCAUGCUUAUAGUCAAAAUAAAGCUUUUACUAAACAUAUCGUUGAUGCUUUGAUGCAAUCUUAUGAAGAAAAACUUGAUUUGGAAGUUUCUAUCCCUAGAAAACUCUAUGAUGAGUGGGAACCUACUAUUGAAAUUAAAAUUAAAGAUCAUGAAUGCUAUGCUUUGUGUGAUUUGGGUGCUAGUGUUUCCACGAUUCCAAAGACUUUGUGUGAUUUGUUAGGUUUCCGUGAUUUUGAUGAUUGCUCUUUAAACUUGCACCUUGCGGAUUCCACCAUUAAGAAACCUAUGGGAAGAAUUAAUGAUGUUCUUAUUGUUGCAAAUAGAAACUAUGUGCCCGUAGAUUUUAUUGUUCUUGAUAUCGAUUGCAAUCCUUCAUGUCCUAUCAUUCUUGGUAGACCUUUCCUUAGAACGAUCGGUGCAAUUACUGAUAUGAAGGAAGGAAAUAUUAGAUUCCAAUUUCCGUUAAGGAAAGGCAUGGAACACUUUCCUAGAAAGAAAAUAAAAUUACCAUAUGAAUCUAUCAUGAGAGCCACUUACGAAUUGCCUACCAAAGAUGGCAAUACCUAGAUCUAUCCUUGCCUUUAUGCCUAGCUAGGGGCGUUAAACGAUAGCGCUUGUUGGGAGGCAACCCAAUUUUUUUUUGCUUUUUGCUUCUGUUUAGGAAUAAAUAUUUGAUCUAGCCUCUGGUUAGACUUGUUUUUAUGUUUUAAUUAGUGUUUGUGCCAAGUUAAACCUAUAGGAUCUUCUCGGAUGAUAGUUAUUUGAUUUUGCUAUAAAUUUCAGAAACUUUCUAUUCACGCAAAUAAUUGUUUAAAAUUACCAGAACGCGAUAAAAUAUUGAUUCCAAUUGCUGCUGAUCAAUAAAGAAAUUUUCUAGGUCGUCCUAUUUUGGCUGAAGUUUUGGAGUUCCAGAAGUUUGCGUUACUUACAGAUUACUACAGACUGUUCUGUUUUUGACAGAUUCUGUUUUUCGUGUGUUGUUUGCUUAUUUUGAUGAAUCUAUGGCUAGUAAAAUAGUUUAUAAACCAUAGAGAACUUGGAAUACAGUAGGAUUAACACCAAUAUAAAUAAAUAAUGAGUUCAUUACAGUAUCUUGAAGUGGUGUUUUGUUUUCUUUCGCUAACGGAGCUCACGAGAUUUUAUGUUAAGUUUUGUGUUGUGAAGUUUUCAAGUUUUGGGUGAAAGAUUUGAUGGAUUAUGGAAUAAGGAGUGGCAAGAGCCUAAGCUUGGGGAUGCCCAUGGCACCCCAAGAUAAUCUAAGGACACCAAAAAUCCAAAUCUUGGGGAUGCCCCGGAAGGCAUCCCCUCUUUCGUCUACUUCCAUCGGUAACUUACUUGGAGCUAUAUUUUUAUUCACCACAUGAUAUGUGUUUUGCUUGGAGCGUUUUUAUGAUUUGAGUCUUUGCUUUUUAGUUUACCACAAUCAUCCUUGCUGUACACACCUUUUGAGAGAGACACACAUGAUUCGGAAAUUAUUUUAAUACUCUAUGUGCUUCACUUAUAUCUUUUGAGCUAUAUAGUUUUUGCUCUAGUACUUCACUUAUAUCUUUUAGAGCACGGUGGUAACUUUUGUUUUAUAGAAACUAUUAUUCUCUCAUGCUUCACUUAGAUUCUUUUGAGAGUCUUAAAUAGCAUGGUAAUUUGCUUAAUCCUAAUAUGCUAGGUAUUCAAGACUAGUACAAACUUUCUUAUGAGUGUGUUGAAUACUAAGAGAAGUUAGAUGCUUGAUGAUUGUUUGAGAUAUGGAGGUAGUGAUAUCAAAGUUGUGCUAGUUGAGUAGUUGUGAAUUUGAGAAAUACUUGUGUUGAAGUUUGCAAGUCCCGUAGCAUGCACGUAUGGUAAACGUUAUGUAACAGAUUUGAAACAUGAGGUGUUCUUUGAUAGUCCUCCUUAUGAGUGGCGGUCGGGGACGAGCGAUGGUCUUUCCCUACCAAUCUAUCCCCCUAGGAGCAUGCGCGUAGUGCUUGGUUUUUGAUGACUUGUAGAUUUUUGCAAUAAGUAUGUGAGUUCUUUAUGACUAAUGUUGAGUCCAUGGAUUAUACACACUCUCACCUUUCCAUCAUUGCUAGCCUCUUCGGUACCGUGCAUUGCCCUUUCUCAUACUGAGAGUAGGUGCAAACUUCGCCGGUGCAUCCAAACCGCGUGAUAUGAUACGCUCUUUCACACAUAAACCUCCUUAUAUCUUCCUCAAAACAGCCACCAUACCUACCUAUUAUGGCAUUUCCAUAGCCAUUCCGAGAUAUAUUGCCAUGCAACUUUCCACCAUUCCGUUUAUCAUGACACAUUCAUCAUUGUCAUAUUGCUUUGCAUAAUCAUGUAGUUGACAUAGUAUUUGUGGUAAAGCCACCAUUCAUAAGUCUUUCAUACAUGUCACUCUUGGUUCAUUGCAUAUCCCGGUACACCGCCGGAGGCAUUCAUAUGGAGUCAUACUUUGUUCUAGUAUCGAGUUGUAAUCAUUGAGUUGUAAAUAAAUAGAAGUGUGAUGAUCAUCAUUUUCUAAAGCAUUGUCCCAAGCGAGGAAAAAUAAAAAAAUAAAAAAGGGGAGAAAGGCCAUAAAAAAGAAGGCCCAAAAAAAUGAGAGAAAAAGAGAGAAGGGACAAUGUUACUAUCCUUUUUACCACAUUGUGCUUCAAAGUAGCACCAUAAUCUUCAUGAUAGAGAGUCUUUUGUUUUGUCACUUUCAUAUACUAGUGGGAACUUUUCAUUAUAGAACUUGGCUUGUAUAUUCCAACAAUGGGCUUCCUCAAAUUCCCUAGGUCUUCAUGAGCAAGCAAGUUGGAUGCACACCCACUUAGUUUCUUUUGUUGAGCUUUCAUAUAUUUAUAGCUCUAGUGCAUCCGUUGCAUGGCAAUCCCUACUCCUUGCAUUAACAUCAAUAGAUGGGCAUCUCCAUAGCUCAUUGGUUAGCCUCGUUGAUGUGAGACUUUCUACUUUUUUGUCUUCUCCACAUAACCCCCAUCAUUAUAUUCUAUUCCACCCAUAGUGCUAUAUCCAUGGCCCACGCUCAUGUAUUGCGUGAAGGUUGAAAAAGUUUGAGAGUACUAAAGUAUGAAACAAUUGCUUGGCUUGUCAUUGGGGUUGUGCAUGAUGAGAGCAUUCUUGUGCGACGAAAAUGGAGCAUGACUAAACUAUAUGAUUUUGUAGGGAUGAACUUUCUUUGGCCAUGUUAUUUUGAGAGGACAUAUUGCUUAGUUAGUAUGCUUGAAGUAUUAUUAUUUUUAUGUCAAUAUUGAACUUUUAUCUUGAAUUUUUCGGAUCUGAAUAUUCAUACCACAAUUAAGAAGAAUUACAUUGAAAUUAUGCCAAGUAGCAUUCCACAUCAAAAAUUCUGUUUUUAUCAUUUACCUACUCGAGGACGAGCAGGAAUUAAGCUUGGGGAUGCUUGAUACGUCUCCAACGUAUCUAUAAUUUUUUAUUGUUCCAUGCUAUAUUAUAUUCUGUUUUGGACAUUAUUGGGCUUUAUUAUACACUUUUAUAUUAUUUUUGGGACUAACCUAUUAACCGGAGGCCCAGCCUAGAAUUGUUGUUUUUUGCCUAUUUCAGAGUUUCGCAGAAAAAGAAUAUCAAACGGAGUCCAAACGGAAUGAAACCUUCAGGAACGUGAUUUUCGGAACGAACGUGAUCCAGAGGACUUGGACCCUACGUCAAGACAUCAACCAGGAAGGCGCGAGGUAGGGGGGCGCGCCUACCCCCCCCCCCAGGGCGCGCCCUCCACCCUCGUGGGCCCCAUGUUGCUCCACCGACGUACUUCUUCCUCCUAUAUAUACCUACGUACCCCCAAACUAUCAGAUACGGAGCCAAAAACCUAAUUCCACCGCCGCAACCUUCUGUACCCGUGAGAUCCCAUCCUGGGGCCUGUUCCGGAGCGCUGCCGGAGGGGGCAUCAAUCACGGAGGGCUUCUGCAUCAACACCAUAGCCUCUCCGAUGAAGUGUGAGUAGUUUACCUCAGACCUUCGGGUCCAUACUUAUUAGCUAGAUGGCUUCUUCUCUCUUUUUGGAUCUCAAUACAAUGUUCUCUCCAUCUCUUGUGGAGAUCUAUUCGUUGUAAUCUUGUUUUGCGGUGUGUUUGUUGAGACUGAUGAAUUGUGGGUUUAUGAUCAAGUUUAUCUCUGAACAAUAUUUGAAUCUUCUCCGAAUUAUUUUAUGUAUGGUUGGUUAUCUUUGCAAGUCUCUUCGAAUUAUCAGUUUGGUUUGGCCUACUAGAUUGAUCUUUGUUGCAAUGAGAGAAGUGCUUAGUUUUGGGUUCAAUCUUGCGGUGUCCUUUCCCAGUGACAGUAGGGGCAGCAAGGCACGUAUUGUAUUGUUGCCAUCGAGGAUAACAAGAUAUGUCAUCUUGCUUAAAAUGUUACUCUGUUCUUAUGAACUUAAUACUCUAGAUGCAUGCUGGAUAGCGGUCGAUGUGUGGAGUAAUAGUAGUAGAUGCAGGCAGGAGUGGGUCUACUUGUCUCGGACGUGAUGCCUAUAUACAUGAUCAUACCUAGAUAUUCUCAUAACUAUGCUCAAUUCUAUCAAUUGCUCAAUAGUAAUUUGUUCACCCACCGUAAUACUUAUGCUGUUGAGAGAAGCCACUAGUGAAACCUAUGGCCCCCGGGUUUUAUUUCCAUCAUAUUCAAUCUCCCGACAACAAGCUAUUUCUGACGCCGUUUUUACUUUGUUUACUUUACUUUGCAUCUUUAUCAUAAAAAUACCAAAAAUAUUAUCUUAUCAUAUCUAUCAGAUCUCACUCUCGUAAGUGACCGUGAAGGGAUUGACAACCCCUUUAUUGCAUUGGUUGCGAGGAUUUAUUUGAUUGUGUAGGUGCGAGGGACUUGCGCGUGGCCUCCUACUGGAUUGAUACCUUGGUUCUCAAAAACUUAGGGAAAUACUUAAGCUACUUUGCUGCAUCACCCUUUCCUCUUCAAGGGAAAACCAACGCCGUGCUCAAGAGGUAGCAGCGAGCCCGCUGUCUUCUCCCGCGCAAAAGCGGUUCAUCAGAGCAGUGAGGGCUGUCAUGGAUUUAGGUCCUUCUUGGCCGAGGUGGCGUGCAAGCCAUUCGUCCCGGACGCUAUGUCUAAAGGCCGCAAGGGCUUCUGCCCGGACAGUCGAAGAUUUGGUUCUUUUUAACUAAGAACCGAGUCCAGAGCUUCCUGGCUGAUUCUCCGGGCUGCUGGACAAUGUGACUUAGGUCAUCGGCAUCCGGUGGCCGGACAUAUGUUCCUCGGAAGUUAUCGAGGAAAGCCUCUUCCAAGUCCUCCUAGCUGCCUAUGGAAUUUUCAGGCAGGCUGUUUAACCAGUGCCGAGCUGGUCCUUUUAGCUUUAGUGGGAGGUAUUUAUUGGCGUGGAGGUCGUCCCCACGGGCCAUAUGGAUGUGGAGGAUAAAAUCUUCUAUCCAUACUGUGAGAUCGGCUGUGCCGUCGUAUGAUUCAAUAUUGACGGGUUUGAAUCCUUCGGGGAAUUCAUGAUCCAUUACUUCAUCAGUGAAGCAUAGCGGGUGUGCGGCUCCUCUAUGUUGGGCCACAUUGCGACGUAACUCUGAAGGAGUCCCUUUUCGGUAUUUGGCGCGGGUGUGGCGAGGUUUGUCACGUCCGAACAGGUAGCCAUCGUCGAGCGUCAAGGCAUGCCUUCGCGAUCCGUAGAUCGGUCUUGCGUGUCCUGCUCUAUUGUCCAAGUCCCUCUGCAGGUCGUCUGGGUAAUCGUGACCUGCGUUGUUCUUGCCUUUACGGCGAGGUGGGGCGGUCUGGUGUUCGGCUUGAGUUGCCUCUUUAUCCGGACAGAGUUGUCGGUGACCUGCCGCUUUAUGUGACGAUGGUACGGGCUCCAACACCCCGUCAUCGGACUGGUAUAUAAUUCUGUGCUUUGGGUAGCUUUUGUCUAGGUCAUUAAGGCCGUAUUCUUCGGCGACCAAGACUUCGGUCCAUCUGUCAUUGAGUAGGUUUUGGUCUGCUUGAAGUUGCUGCUGCUUCUUUUUUAGGCUCCUUGCCGUAGCUAUUAGCCUGCGCUUGAAGCGCUCCUGUUCGAGGGGCUCUUCAGGUACGAUGAAGUCUUCGUCGCCGAGGCUUACCUCAUCUUCGGAGAGCGAAAGGUAGUUGUCGUCCUCCGAACUGUCGCUGGGCAGGGCCUGUUCAUCAGGGCUCACUUGCCUGAUUUCUUGUUCCUCCUGUUUGGAUCCUCCCGCGAUAGGGUCUUCAUUGUCCGGAGUGUUACCUUCUCUGGUGCUAGUGUUGUUUUCUUUUGAGCGACGUGGCUUAGAGCGGCGCCGGGGGCGCCGGUGUUCGGAUUGUGUCCCGGGAGGCUUAUCCUCAACUGGAUCCUCUUUGUCAUCGUCGAGAUCGUCGUUGGGUGUGUCUACCAUACACACGUCAUACCAGGAAUUGGUCGUUCCUCGUCUAGUGGAUAGUGAGUUCUGGCCUUGCCCCUCAUCGUCGUCCAUAUCGUCGAUGUCUGCAGAGCCGGGGUCAAGCGUGUUGGUUGGGUCUUCGACAGUGGCUAUGAAGUGGGUGGCGGGUGGGAAACAAAAUUCUCCAUCGUCCGCCGCCAGCUCGAACCGAACAUAGUUCGGCGGCGAGUCACCUGCCAGAGAUAGAUUUUUUAGUGAGUUUAGUACGUCGCCCAUGGGCGAGUGUCGGAAGACGUCUGCAGUGCUGAACUUGAAGAUCGAUAACCGAUCGAGUUUAGUAUCUACGGACUCACGGGGUUCGGAACUUGUCGCCGGAGACGAGUCCGGGGUUCCAUGAUACAUAUAUCAUAUGAAGUAAAAUCUGCACGAGGCUCCAACGCCGCGGAAUCGGUAGCCUCCGUGAUGGGGUUGAGCUUCCCAUCUUCGGAUGACUCGAUCUGCUCCGGCUCUAGGGCCAGAGUUGUUACAGGAGCUAUCUCCUGUAUGCGGCCCGGUGGCCGAUUUAAGCCGUGCCUAGCGGGGCGAAGGGGAGCGGUUGCCGCGGUCUCAAAUCCGUCGAAGAUCAAGUCUCCAUGGAUGUCCGCGACAUAGUUCAAGCUUCCAAAUCUGACAUGAUGGCCAGGGGCGUAGCUGUCGAUCUGCUCCAGAUGGCCAAGCGACUUGGCCCGCAGUACGAAGCCGUCGAAUACGAAGAUCUGUCUGGGGAGGAAGGUAUCUCCCUGGACGGCAUCACUAUAGACAGUCGAAGGGGCCAUCAAACCUUUCGUCGACGGCAAUGAAAGCACCAAUGUCGGUGUCAAAACCAUCGGAUCUCGGGUAGGGGUCCCGAACUGUGCGUCUAAGGUUGAUGGUUUGCAGGAGACGGGGGACACGAUGUUUACCCAGGUUCGGGCCCUCUCUAUGGAGGUAAUACCCUACUUCCUGCUUGAUUGAUCUUUAUGAAUAUGAGCAUUACAAGUGUUGAUCUACCACAAGAUCGACAUGGCUAAACCCUAGAAGUCUAGCAUGUAUGACUAAGGUAAUGAGUCUCUUCCUAUCCGGACUACGCUCUCCGGUUUAUAUAGGCACCGGAGAGAUCUAGGGUUACAUGGAGUCGGUUACAUAGAAAGGAAUCUACACGAUUGAUUGCCACGCUUGCCUUCCAUGCCAAGGAGAGUCCUGUCCGGACACGGGUGCCAUCUUUGGUCUUCGUAUCUUUACAGCCCAUCAGCCCGGCCCACGGAUAACAGGCCAGACGCCCGAGGACCCCUUACUCCAGGACUCCCUCAAGGGGGUCUCGAUGGUAAUAGGAGACGGGGGACACGAUGUUUACCCAGGUUCGGGCCCUCUCUAUGGAGGUAAUACCCUACUUCCUGCUUGAUUGAUCUUGAUGAAUAUGAGUAUUACAAGAGUUGAUCUACCAUGAGAUCGUAAUGGCUAAAACCCUAGAAGUCUAGCCUAUAUGAUUAUGAUUGCCUCUACGGACUAAACCCUCUGGUUUAUAUAGACACCAGAGGGGACUAGGGUUGUACAAAGUCGGUUACAGAGAAAGGAAUCUUCAUAUCCGAACGCCAAGCUUGCCGUCCAUGCCAAGGAGAGUCCCAUCCGGACACGGGAGAAAGUCUUUUGUCUCGUAUCUUCAUGGCCCAUCAGUCCGGCCCACGUUACAUAGUUCGGACGCCCGAGGACCCCUUAAUCCAGGACUCCCUCAGUAGCCCCUGAACCAGGCUUCAUUGACGAUGUGUCUGGCAUGCAAAUUGUCUUCGGCAUUGCAAGGCGGGUUCCUCCUCCGAAUCCUCCAAAGCAGCCUUCGAACACAGGAAACGUGUCCGGCUCUGCAAAACAAAUACCACACACAACCGCAGAGAGUACAAUAUUUCACGAGUCCAAUCUACUGGCAACUUUUUGUAGCGUGACAUCACGUCACUGCCCGGUCAUUAUUUCAAACCAUUUUUAGCCUGCCGCUCCGCGUUUCAAGAUGCGGUUUCCAUUGGUACGUCUUGUCGCAGCAGAGAUCGUGUCCCCUUAUUACGGGAUUCUCAUCAAUACGGGUGUGGGUAAUCUAACCAUGCCGUCUUCACGGCCCUUGGGAAUAGGCGAGUUUUAAGGCGAGUGGGGAGGCGCUUGAUAUUCACCGCCUUUAUAAGGAGAUAAGGAUUCCUUUCUUUCACCCACACCUUCUCUCUCUCUGCCCCCCCCAUUCUCGAGCUCCAGCGCCCAAGUUCUCAUCCUUUUCGCCUCAAAAAAGCACUCCAAUCAUGUCCGGAUCCGGAGCGCAGGGCAAGUGGAUGGUCUCCUCCGUCAAGGAGAAGGACAUCACCAAGCUCCGGGAGGCCGGGUAUUUGUCCAAGGAAGUCGCCCACCGGCUUCCGGCCAAGGGGCAGAUCGUCUCCACCACGGAGCCCCAUGAGAGGGUAGUGUUCAUCCCUCACUUCAUCCGCGGGCUGGGAUUUCCUCUCCACCCAUUCAUCCGCGGACUCAUGGUCUACUACGAGCUAGAUUUCCAUGAUCUAGCCCCAAAUUCUUUCCUCAACAUCUCGGCAUUUAUUGUCGUCUGCGAGGCUUUCCCCCGCAUCCCACCCCACUUCGGAUUGUGUCUAAAGAUCUUCAAUGUGAAGCCGAAGGUGGUGGGUGGCCAGCACGUAGAGUGCGGAGGCACCAUGGCGAGCAAGAUGCCCAAUGUCACAUUGCCCGAAGGCUCCUUCGUGGAGACCGUCAAAGGGUGGCAGCAAUUGUGGUUCUAUAUCACAGAGCCCCACGAUGCCACCUGGGCCGCGGCUCCCGAAUUCAAGUCCGGAGCCCCAAUGCGGCUCACCUCCUGGCUAGAGAAGGGCCUAAAUUGGGCUUCGUCGGACGAGCUAACAGCGCUGCAGAUGCGCAUCCAGAGGAUGGUGGACAAGAACAUCAAGCUCGUCAAUGUGAUCCAGGUGAUGCUAGUUCGCCGAAUCCUUCCAUGCCAGAGCCGGGCUUGCCAUCUAUGGGAGUUCGAUCCGGCCGAGCACCAGACCUUGCAACGGUUCUUCGGAACUACGCACGAAGAUAUCUGGAAGGUGCUCUUCAAGGCCAACGAGACGUGGCCGAAGACGACCGAGGACCGUGGGCACGACCUGGCCCAUCCUGCCGGUCUGGUAAGCCUUUCGCAUUUCAAGGUGUAUCCUUUACUUGCUUAUUCAGGGAAGAUGCCUAAGCCUCCCUAUUUAUUUUUUUAGGGCUGGACAAAGAAGGCGGAGCGGAUUCAGUAUCUGGCUCCGCCGCCCGAGGAGCCAGCCAUCCCGCUUCUGACGAAGAUGCUGGUUUCGGUGCCCUACCAGGCACCGGAGAAGAAGGCCAAGAAAAAGGCCAAGGAGACCUAAAGUGGCCUCCGCCGCAAGGGCGCUUCGGACGUGACGUCCGAAGACAUCGAGCAUCACUCCUCCGCCGUCGAGGACGACGAGGAGGACGAGCAAGAAAGCAACUCCCCCCUGAGGGGGGAAGGAAGAAGAGGGCGGCCUCCACGCGUCUGGAGGCCAAAGAGUCCAAGAAGGGGAAAGUCUCCCUCGCGGAUAACUCCGAGUGGGACAUCGAUAGCAUCCCAGAGCGGCGCCCCCGAGAUAAGACCCUGGCUGAAUCGUGAGUACUCAAAGACCAUGACGUAUUCAUAUAUCCAGCCUCUUUACUUCAUAGUUUUAACAUGCUAAAUCAUGCACUUGCAGUCCGGCUCGUUCCGUCCUCGAGCAAUCCUCAUCUUCGGGGAAUUCGCUGGACCCGAAGGUGAUGGACAGCGGGUCCCUUCCGGCGGCCUCCUCUCCCAGGGCCAUGGAUGACACCGAGGUGUUGUCCCGAAGGAUCCCAGGCCAGGGAGAGACACGGGAGGCCGUCAGGGCGGCACCGGAGGGUGAACCUAGGCUAUCGGACACAUGGGGGAGCAAAUCCCCACGAAGACUGGCGAUGGGGGCCAUAUCCAAUUCGGCCCCCAGCCGAAUACGGUCCCGGAGACCUAUACGGCUCCGGAAUCCGGCAAGCAGCCUCCUUUGAAAGGAGGAGGUGUCCCUAUUCCACCGGUGACCUAUGUCCAACCAGAGGCACCUGAUACUCUAUGGAAGCGCUGCGAAGUGCUUCCAUUGUUGAGGAACACCGUGCCCUCAUGGGUACGGUGAUUGAGAAGAUUCAGUCCGCGAAGAGCGGACUGACUGAAGCCUGCGCAAGCCUUCUAACAGGCUUUGAGGUAAGAAACGCAAUUAUGUAAAAAGAAUGUCACAGUAUGGACAGUAGCCCCUGAGACUCUGUCCGGUGUUUGGAAAGAAAAGCCGGACAGAGGAUCAAAUAAUUUUCGCAAGAGACUAACCAUACAUGUCUAUGUGAAUAAGUAGGCGUCGUUGCUGGCUGUGACCUCCCACGCUGCCGAAGUCUCCGGACAGAAGCAGAGUCUGGAGCGGACCGAGGAAGAGCUCGGCCGUGUAAAAAAUCAGCUAGAGGAUAAGCAAGGUAUGCAACGGCCUAUUCAAAUCUAGAAAGAUAUGAAUUGUUUCAUGUUGAUCACAGUAUCAUGAUAUGUCGUAGUAGUUGUGACCGAGGUGGAGACCCUCAAGGCCGCGCUGGCAGAAGCCCAGAAGAGAGCGGCGGAGGAACAAUCCGUCCGCGAAAAGGACGAGGCCGUGGUCGGGGAGGUCCAGCAAGAACUCCAGGAUGCCGUGAAGAAAUGCGAGUCCUUGGAUCGCAAGAUUGCAGAUCAAGAGUCCGAGCUUGAUAAGGCCCGCCAAAGCGCCCAAGGGGCCCGGGUUGAAGCCCAGGGCGUCCUCCAGGAAACCCAAGAGGCCAAGAAAAUCGCGGCAGGUAAGGCCUUCAUUAUGCAAAGCAAAUAUGCGAAGAAGAGGUAUCUCUUACUAACCCAGAUUUGGAGUUCUCCAGGGCGUUUGCGGAUCUGCCACGCAGUGUGUCUGACGCUGCGGAAUUCUUCCGAGCCGAAGAGGGGAGCUCAAUGGAGAAGCUGUUCUGGUCGCAAUAUCUUGCGCUGGAACAUACGGUGCCUUUUAGCGAUCAGCUAAAACAGCUGGUCGAACUGCAUAGGGUGGCCUAACUGGCCAUGAGGGAUUUGAUAAUCCGGCUGUGGCCUGCCGAAGCAAUACCCAGCAGCUACUUCGGGCUUGUGAAGCGGCUGGUCAAUGCCUACCCCCGGCUUGACGUCAUCAAGCGGUCGGUCUGCAUCGAAGGUGUGUGGAUGGCCUUCGCGCGUGUCAAGGUGCAGUGGGCAAAGAUGAACGCCGUCAAGCUCACGACCGAGGGACCACCCGCUGGCAAGGAGCACUGCACGCCCGAGCGGUAUUUUGAUGAUGUCCUGGAGGGAUCCCGCAUUGUAGCGGAGCAAUGUGCUAAGGACAUUAUUUUUGAAUUGAAUUCAUUCAUGUUAUCCUGUCCUGUAUUAUGAAACAAAGCCGUUAUGUAAUAUAAUGCUUGUUUAUUAUUUGAAAUUUUACCUCCUGUGCGGCCGUUUUUAUUAAAUCUGAGAGUUGGCCAGUCGUCGGCUUCAACCCCCAUGUAGGUAGUACGGGGGUGUUCGGGAUGAAAUCUAAACACUCUUGAUCCAAAGGCUUGGUCCUUGAAGGAGGUGUUUAGCGCAACGAACCAGGCAAUCGGACUAUGUGGCUUUAUCACCCUCACUUAGCCAUAGGAGUUUGACAAUAGAAUUUUAGGCGCAGCCCCUGGUAUUCAUAAAUCCGAACUAGGGUGCUGUAAACACCUGAUCGGGUAAAGACCGAUUCGUCGCGUAAUGCGGAAAAAAUCGCAAAAGAUUUGUAACUUCCGAACAGCUGAACGGCACACGCCGCAUCAUGACAGUCAGUUUUCGGCUUUCUCUACUAAGGUGCUCAUCCAGAUAAACCAGGACACAAUCGCAGUAGUUCUCCCUUUACUACCCUAGCCGAUAUAGAGGAAUAUAAGGUAGUAAGCACAGGAGCCGGGCAACCCAACUAUUGACCACAGACAUGAUUCGGAGCCGAUGCAUAUAAUGCUAAAAUUUGGGGUGCCGAACUAUACUGUAAAAAAGUGUUCGGACUUUGUUGCCGUAGUAUGGGGCUCAAUGAAGCCCCUGGCGAAUUAAGGCGUACCAAAGUGUACGGGUGCAAUUGAUAAGAUUAUCAAGAAAAAAUGAAGUAGUAAGCUAGUGCCGCAGAAGUUGGGCCACAAACUGUUUCCAUUAUUGUUUGAUUAAUAUGUCAAAGUGUAUUUUUACAAGUAGCGCGAUAAGCAACAGGGCUAUUUAACAUGCCACGGCCAAGGGAGAGCUGCGUGCGGGUCCUGAAAACAUGUAGGGUGGUCGUCAAAAAGACUGUCGGUGUCAAAACCGGCAGAUCUCGGGUAGGGGGUCCCGAACUGUGCAUCUAGGAUCGAUGGUAACAGGAGACGGGGGACACGAUGUUUACCCAGGUUCGGGCCCUCUCUAUGGAGGUAAUACCCUACUUCCUGCUUGAUUGAUCUUGAUGAAUAUGAGUAUUACAAGAUUUGAUCUACCACGAGAUUGUAAUGGCUAAAACUCUAGAAGCCUAGCCUGUAUGACUAUGGUAAUGUGUAUGUCCCCUAUCCGGACUACGCCCUUCGGUUUAUAUAGACACCGGAGCGAUCUAGGGUUUACAAAGAGUCGGUUACAUAAGGAAUCUUCAUAGUCGAUCGCCAAGCUUGCCUUCCAUGCCAAGGAGAGUCCAAUCCAAACACGGGUACAGUCUUCGGCCUUCAUGUCUUCAUAGCCAUCAGUCCGGCCCAUGGAUAACAGGACGGACGCCCGAGGACCCCUUAGUCCAGGACUCCCUCUGUAGCCCCUGAACCUGGCUUCAAUGACGAGGAGUCCGGCGCGCAGAUUGUCUUCGGCAUUGCAAGGCAGGUUCCCCUUUUUCCGAACUCCAAGAUAGUCUUCGGAUGCGAUGACUAGUAUCCGGACCUAUCACACACACCAUACACAACCGCAGAGAGAAUAUAUUUUUACACGAGUUCCAUCCGCUGACAACUUUUUUGCAGCACGACAUUACGUCCGACCGGUCAUAAUUCCAAACCGCUUUUGUGUUCGACGCCCCACGUCCCGAGACGCGGUUGCCAUUGGCACGUCUUGUCAAAGCAGAGAGCGUGUCCCCUUAUCACGGGAUUCUCAUCAAUGCGGGCAUGGGUAACCCAACCGUGCCGUUUAUACAGCCCUUGGGAAUAGGCGAAUCUUAAGGCGAGUGAGGAGGCAUUUAACACUCGCUGCCUUUAUAACGGGAUAAUGAUUCCCUUUUCCUCUCUCGCGCCCUCUCUCGGUCUCUGCCUUUCCAAUCUUGAGCUCCAGCGCCCAAGUUCUCAUCUCCUUGCCACUCAAGCAACCAUGUCCGGAUCCGGAGGUCAGGGCAAGUGGAUGGUCUCCUCCGUCAAGGAGGAGGACAUUACUGAGCUUCGGGCGGCCGGAUAUUUGGCGAAGGAGAUCGCCCACCGUCUGCCGGCCGAGGGACAAGUCGUCCCCAUGCCGAAGCCCACCGAGAGGGUAGUAUUCAUCCCCCAUUUCUUCCGCGGGCUAGGGUUUCCACUCCACCAUUUCGUCCGCGGCUUGAUGUAUUAUUACGGGAUAGAUUGCCAUGAUUUGUCCCCGAAUUCCUUCCUCAACAUCUCGGCGUUUAUCGUCGUGUGUGAGGCCUUCCUACGCAUCCAACCCCACUUCGGGCUGUGGCUCAAAGUCUUCAACGUGAAGCCGAAGAUGGUGGAUGGCCAGCACGCGGAGUGCGGAGGAGCCAUGGUGAGUAAGCUGUCCAACGUCUCCGGGCCCAAAGGCACUUUUGUGGACACAGUAAAGGAGUGGCAGAAGCAGUGGUUCUACAUCAUAGAAGCUCGCGGCACCACCUGGGCCGCAGCUGCCGAAUUCCGCUCCGGUGCUCCCAUGCGACUCACCCCCUGGGUCGAGAAGAGUCCGGACUGGUGUUCACCUGACGAGCUGAUAGCACUGCAGACGCGCGUUCAAAGCAUGGUGACCAAGAAUGUCAAGCUCGUCGAUGUAAUCCAGGUGAUGCUAGUUCGCCGGAUUCUUCCGUGCCAGCGCCGAAGCCGCCCUCUGUGGGAGUUCAAUUCGAAGAAGCACCAGACCUUGCUAAGACUCUUCGAGACUACUCACGAAGGUGCCUGGAAGUUGCUUUUUAAGGGCAACGAGAAGCCACCGGCCACGGAUUCAGACCGUGGUCACGAUUGUAAACACCCCGCCAGCGAGGUAUCCUAUCUCUGACGUAUCCCCAACUUAAUUGUUUCGAAGAUGAUGUCUGAGUUAAUCAUUGUGUUUUCAGGACUGGAUGGAGAGGGCGAAGCGGAUCCAGUGUCCGGCUCCGCUGCCUGAAGAACCGGUCAUCCCGCAUCUAGCAAAGAUGCUGGUGCCAGCGCCAUAUAAGGCGCCGGAGAAGAAGGCCAAGAAGAAGGCCAAGGGGGCCAAGAGUGGCCCCCGUCGCAAAGGCACUCCGGACGUGACGUCCGAAGAAGACGAAGCUCAUUCCUCUGUCCCUGAGGACAAUGAUGAGGAAGAGGAGGAGGAGGAGGAGGAAAACAACCCUCCCCCUGAGGAGAGGAAGAAGAAGAGGGCGGCUUCGGCGCAUUUGGAGGCGGAAACGCCCAAGAAGGGGAAGGGCGUCCCAGCUGUCAACACCGCGUGGGACGUUGACAGCAGUCCGGAACGACACCCCCGUACUAAGCCCCAGGCCGCAUCGUAAGUGACAUGGCCCGCUCAUGCGCACAUCCGGCCCUUUCUCUUCAUUAUCUUGACAUAGUUAACUGUACUAUUACAGUCCGGCCCGCGACCUUAUCCAGCGAUCCUCAUCUGGAGGUUCGUUGGCUCCGUCGGAGAUGGCGAGCAUGUCGCCGCCGCCUGAUUAUUCCCCCGGGGCCAGGGACGACACCGAAGUGUUGUCCCGGAGGACCGCUCCGAACCGGGGAGGAGCCCAAGACGCUGUCUGGGAGGCGCCACAAGCCGAGACCUCCACUACCGGACACAUGGGGGAGCAGAUCCCCAUGGAGACUGGCGGAGAGGGCCACAUCCAGUUCGGCCCUCAGCCGAAUACGAUUUCGGAGAUCCAUAUGGCUCCGGAGUCGGGCGAGCAGCCCGCUUUGAAGGAGGGGGGUGCGCCGCUUCCACCGGUGGCCCCUGUCCAUCCAGGGGCGCCGGAUAACCUGAUGGAGGCGCUACAAGGCGCCUCCGUCGUGGACGAGCACCGUGUCCUUAUGGAUGCGGUGAUCGAGAAGGUUCAGUCCGCCAAGAGUGGACUGAAUGAAGCCUGCAGCAACCUGCUGAUAGGUUUCAAGGUAAGAAAGAGAAAAACCCCGUGUAGACAGUAGCCCCUGAGACACUGUCCGGUGUUCGGCGAGAAGAACCUGAUAGAGGAUCAAUCUUUUGUCAUAGGAGACUGACUUAAUAUGUAUGAAUAAGUAGGCGUCACUGUUGGCCGCAACCUCGCAUACUGCCGAAGUCUCUGAACUGAAGCAGAGGCUGGAGCGGAACGAAAACGAGCUCGGCGAGGUUAGGGUGCGGCUCCGGGAGAAGCAAGGUGAGUGACGACUUGCUGUGUGUUCGGAAGGAGUAGGCGUUGUAUAUUGACCGCGGUGUCGUAAUAUAUGCAGGAGCCGCGACCGAGGUCGAGGCCCUGAGGAAGGCCCUGUGCGAGGCCGAGGAGAAGGUUGUCCAGCAGCAAGUCGCCCGUAAGAAGCUCAAGGCCCGGGUCAAAGAAGUCCAGCAGGAGCUCCAGGAUGCGGUGAAAAAAUGCGAGGCCUUGGAGCAUGAUGCGUCGGUUCAAGGGGCCGAACUCGCCAAGGCUCGUCAGAGCGCGGAGACUGCACGGAAUGAGGCCCAGGCCGCCCUCCAGGAGAUCCAGGAGGCCAAGAAGAUCACGGCGGGUAAGGCAUUUAAGAUGCAAAGCAAGUAUGCGAAGAAGCAGUACCUUUUACUAACCCGGGUUCGGAGUUCCCCAGGGGCUUUUGCGGAUUUACCACGCAGUGUAUCAGACGCCGCGGAGUUCUAUCGGGCCGAAGGAAGGGGUUCUACAGAGAAGCUAUUCUGGUCGCAGUAUGCGAUGCCAGAGCAUCCUGUGUCCUUCACCGAUCAGCUGAAACAGCUGGUGGAGCUGCAUAGGGUGGCCGAACUAGCCUUUAAGGAUGUGAUAAUCCGGCUAUGGCCAUCCGAAGCUAUGCCAGGCAGCUACUUCGGACUCAUGAGGCGGAUGGUGAACGCCUAUCCUCGGCUGGACGUCGUCAAGUGCUCGGCCUGUAUUGAAGGUGCGUGCAUGGCCUUCGCCCGUUGCAAGAUGUGGUGGGCGAAGAUGGACGCCAUCAAGAUGACCAGAGGGCCACCGAAGGGCAAGGAGCACCGCACACCUGAACGGUAUUUUGCGGAUGUCCUAGAGGGGUCUCGCCUUGCGGCAGCACAAUGUUCGCAGGACAUUGUAUUUGAAUAAAUGUAUUCAUGUUGCCUUUGACUUGUAUUAUGAAAACAAAGCCUGUUUUAUAAUGUAAUUUUGUUAUGCUUUAAUUGUUUCCUCAUGUGCGGCCAUGCUGUAUGUAAUCUGAGGGUUGGCCAGUCGUCGGCUUCUGCCCUCACGUAGGUAGUACGGAGGUGUUCGGGAUGGAAUCUAAACAAUCUUGAUCCAAUUAUAUGGUCCCUGAAGGAGUUGUUUAGCGCAACGAACAAGGCAAUCAGACUAUACGGCUUAAAUGCCCUCACUUAGCCAUAGGAGUUUUAUAAUAAAGCAUGGGUGCAGCCCCUAGUUUAGGCCAGGGUGCUGUCAGCAUCUGAUCGGGAAGUGCCGAUCUUUCGCAUAAUGCGGAAAAAAUCUCCUACGAUUUGUAACCCUCGAACAGUUGACCGGCUCUCGCCGUAUCAUGACAGUCAGCUUUCGGCUUUCUCUACUGAGGUGCUCAUCUGGUCAAGGCCAGGGCACAAUCGCAGUACUUCUCCCUUUACUACCCUAGCCGAUUCAGCGGAACAUAUGGUAGCAAGCACAGGAGCCGGGCAAACCAACUAUUGACCAAAGACAUGAUUCGAAGCCAAUGCAUAUAAUGCUAAAUUCGGGGUGCCGAACUUUUCUAUAAGAAGUGUUCGGACUUUGCUGCCGUAUUAUGGGGUGAUAGGGAGCCCUUGGCGAAUAUGAGACGUACCAAAUUGUACAGAUGCGGUUGAUAAGCAAAUCGAAAUAAAAUGAAGUAAGAAGCGAAAACCACGGAAGCUGAGCCGCAAACCAUUUUCAUUAUAUGGCUCCGUCAAGGCGUGUCUUGUAUAAAUAGUGCGAUAAGCAUCCGGGCUAUUUAACAUGCCGGAAUCAAGAGGGCGCAGCGUGUGGGUCCUGAGAAAUAAGUAGAAAUACCGUCAAGAAGAACGUAUAGAGGUUACCCUACACACCUAUGCUGCUUGCCGUCCUUGUAUGUCGAUCCUUCGAAAGGACUGGUGAUCAGGCCUGCGGGAAAAGGAACCUGAAACAAAUAAAAAGAAAAAUGGGGAAAGUACGUGUGAGUCCGGGGUCGGUCAAGCCGUACUGUGGACCACAAGCUGUGCCUCCGUCGAUGCCCAUGGGAUUUUGAGUGCGUAAUUAUGUGCGCGUGGUACGAGUGCCACUACUUGAUCAGGGUUGGGAUGGAGGCCGAAUUGCUAGUCAAGCUCUUGACGAGCCGAGUUGUCCUAUUGCAGCAUAGCCCAGACCUUCUUAACGGUGUCCAGGGGCUCGGCAGCCGGAUUACGGUUCUGCUUGAAAAGGCCGCUCUGCUGCUAGGGCGGCGGUGUGCUCCUCUGUAUGGAGGGAGCGUUCCGUAUUUCCAUUGACUGUUAUGACACCGCAUGGACUGGGCAUUUUAAGCUUGAGAUAAGCAUAGUGUGGCACCGCGUUGAAUCUAGCGAACGCGGUUCGUCCGAGCAGUGCGUGGUAGCAGCUGCGGAAGGGGACGAUAUCUAAGAUUAGCUCUUCGCUUCGGAAGUUGUCCGGAGAACCGAAGACAACCUCUAGUGUGAUUGAGCCCGUACAACGGGCCUCUACGCAUGGUAUGACUCCUUUAAAGGUAGUCUUUGUUGGUUUGAUCCAUGAGGGAUUAAUACCCAUUUUGCGCACUGUAUCCUGAUAGAGCAGGUUGAGGCUGCUACCACCGUCCAUUAGGACUCGUGUCAGAUGAAAUCCGUCGAUGGUUGGGUCGAGGACCAAUGCCGCCGAACCGCCGUGACGGAUACUAGUUGGAUGAUCUGGUCGAUCGAAGGUGAUCGGGAAUGACGACCAUGGAUUGAAUUUGGGGGCGACUGGCUCUACCGCGUAGAUGUCCCUGAGUGCGCGCUUGUGCUCCCUUUUGGGAAUGUGUGUAACAUAUAUCAUGUUCACUGUUUUGACUUGAGGGGGAAACUUCUUCCGCCCCCCAGUGUUCGGUUGCCGGGGCUCUUCGUCAUCGUCCUCACUUUGUGAUCCCUUUUCCUUGUUCUCGGCAUUUAACUUGCCGGCCUGCUUAAAAACCCAACAAUCUCUGUUGGUAUGGUUGGCUUGUUUGUCUGGGGUGCCAUGUAUCUGGCACGGACGGUCGAGUAUGCGGUCCAAGCUGGAUGGUCCCUCGCUGUUCCUUUUGUAAGUCUUCUUCCGCUGGCCGGACAUGGAACCACUGAAUCCGGCAUGAACCGUAGUGUCAUCGGUGUUAUCACCAUUGCUUCGGCAUUUGUGUCUAUUGCACCGGAGUUUGCCGGUGCUGCUUUUGGCCUCGGAGGGGCCUGCCUUGUUGGCCGUGUUUUUACUACGAGCCAGUCAACUAUCUUCACCCACACAAAAGCGGGUCAUGAGUGUCGUAAGGGCUGCCAUGGAUUUCGGCUUUUCCUGGCCGAGGUGGCGGGCGAGCCAUUCGUCACGGAUGCUGUGUUUGAAGGCCGCUAGGGCUUCUGCAUCCGGACAGUCAACGAUCUGGUUCUUUUUGGUUAGGAACCUAGUCCAGAAUUUUCUGGCUGACUCUCCAGGUUGUUGAACUAUAUGACUUAGGUCAUCGGCGUCUGGUGGCCGGACAUAAGUGCCUUGGAAGUUGUCAAGAAAAGCUUCUUCCAAGUCCUCCCAGCUGCCGAUGGAAUUUUCAGGCAGGCUGUUUUACCCGUGUCUGGCUGGCCCUUUGAGCUUUAGAGGAAGGUAUUUGAUGGCGUGGAGAUCGUCUUCUCGGGCCAUAUGGAUGUGGAGGAUGAAAUCCUCGAUCCAUACUACGGGAUCGGUUGUUCCGUCGUAUGAUUCAAUAUUGAUGGGCUUGAAACCCUCGGGAAAUUCAUGAUCCAGUACUUCAUCUGUGAAGCAGAGGGGGUGUGCGGCACCUCUAUAUCGGACCACAUCGCGACGUAGCUCUGAUGGAGUCCGCCUGCGGCAUUCGGCCCGGGCGUGGUUAGGUUUAUCACGUCCAAAUAGGUAGCUGUCGUCGUGUCUCGAGGCACGUCCUCACGAUCUGUAGAUCGAUCAUGUAUGUCCUGCUCUACUGUCCAGGGUCUGCCGGAGGUCGUACGUGUGACCCCGAAUUGUUCCGCUUCUGUUUUUACGGGGCGGUGGGGCAGGCUGCUGCUCGGCCUGAGUUGCCGCUUUAUCCCGACCGUGGGGUGGUCGGUCCGCCGCACAGUCUCGACCACGUGGUGGUCGUUCCGCAUUGCGCGAGGGAGAUAUGGGCUCAGGCGCCUCCUCAUCGAACUGAGGUAGCAGUCUGCGUUUCGGGUAGCUCUUGGCUGGGCGCUUGAGGCCAUAUUCUUCGGCUGUCAGGACAUCAGUCCAUCUAUCGAUGAGCAGAUCUUGUUCAGCUUGAAGCUGCUGCUGUUUCUUUUUCAGGCUCCUUGCGGUGGCUAUGAGCUGAAGCUUAAAGUGCUCCUGCUCCAGGGGAUCCUCAGGCACGAUGAAGUCUUCGUUGCCGAGGCUCGUCUCCUCCUUGGAGGGCGGACGGUAACUAUCGUCCUUCGAGUCUUCUUCUAUGUCAUGUUCGUCUGGGCUGGCAUGCCAUGAUUCCCGAUUGUCUCGUUCGGCGGUUUGUUCAUCGGGUUCUUCUGUGUCCUCGGCACCAUCCGGAGUGUUCUCGUCUCCUGUGCCGGUGUUGCUAUCCCUGCUGCGGCGGGACUUAGAGUGGCGCCGCUGACGACGGCGCUUUGGUUGUGUUUUAGGAGGGUCCUCCUUGGCCGGAUUUUCCUUGUCAUCGCCGCUAUUUUUCGACGUGUCUACCAUGUAGACGUCAUAUGAGGAGGUGGCCGUCCAUCGUCCAGUGAAUGGCGGGUCCUGGCCUUGCUCCUUGUCGGCAUCGUCGUCCAUACCGUCGAUGUCUUCGGAGCCAUAAUCAAGCUCAUCGAUUAAGUCAUCGACAGUGGCUAUGAAGUGGGUGGCAGGUGGGAAGCUGAAUUCUCCAUCCUCAGCCCCUAGUUCGAACCGGACAUAGUUCGGCUGUGAGUUCCCCGCCAAGGACAGGUUCUUGAAAGAGUUUAGCACAUUUCCCAAAGGUGAGUGCUGAAAGAUGUCUGCGACGCUGAAUUCGAAGAUCGAUAAACGAUCAAGUUCAGCGUCCGCGGGCGUACGCAGUUCGGAACUUAUAGCCGGAUCUGACAUGGACGGUCGAGUAUGCAGUCCAAGCUGGAUGAGCCCAGAUUGCUUUUAUAUGGCUUCUUCCACUGGCCGGACUUGGAGCCACUGAAUCCGGCGUUGACUGCCGUGUCAUCGGUAUUGUGACCAUUGCUUCGACGCUUGUGUCUGUUGCGUCGGCUUGCCGUUGCUAUUUCUGGCUUCAGAAGUGCCAGGUUCGCUUGUACUGUUAUUGCUACGGGCUAGCCAGCUAUCUUCGCCCGCGCAAAAGCGGGUCAUAAGCGCCGUGAGGGCUACCAUGGACUUCGGCUUUUCUUGGCCGAGGUGUCGGGCGAGCCAUUCGUCGCGGAUGCUAUGUUUAAAGGCCGCUAGGGCUUCGGCUUCCCGACAGUCGACGAUCUGGUUCUUUUUAGUUAAGAACCUAGUCCAGAAUUUCCUGGCUGACUCUCCAGGCUGUUGAACUAUGUGACUUAAGUUGUCGGCAUCUGGAGGUUGGACAUAUGUACCUUGGAAGUUGCCGAGGAAGGCAUCCUCCAAUUCCUCCAAGCUGCCAAUUGAGUUUUCGGGCAGACUGUUCAACCAGUGUCGAGCUGGUCCCUUGAGUUUUAGCGGGAGGUAUUUGAUGGCAUGAAGAUCAUCACCGCGGGCCAUGUGAAUAUGGAGAAGAAAAUCCUCGAUCCAUACCGCGGGGUCUGUUGUCCCAUCAUAUGAUUUGAUGUUCACGGGUUUAAACCCUUCUGGGAAUUCGUGUUCCAUGACUUCAUCAGUGAAGCAAAGGGGGUGUGCGGCGCCUCUAUAUCGGGCCAAGUCGCGGCGUAGCUCGGAUGGAGUUCGUCUGCGGUUUUCAGCCCGGGCGUGGUUAUGUUUGUCACGUCCGGCCAGGUGGCCGUCGUCGCGCAUCGGGGCACGCCCCCGCGAUCCGUAGAUCGAUAUGGUCUGACCUGCUCUGUUCUCCAGGUCCUGCCGCAGGUCAUAUGUGUAUCCCCAAGCUGCUUUAUCUCUGCCUUUACGGUGAGGUAGUACGGGCUGGUGUUCAGCUUGAGUUGCCACUUUGUCCCGACCACGUGGUGGUCGAUCAGCUGCAUUACACGCUGAUGGUACGGGCCCAAGUGCCUCGUCGUCGAAUUGAGGUAGCAAUUUGCGCUUUGGGUAACUUUUGGUUGGGCGCUCGAGGACGUAUUCCUCGGCUGCCAGGACAUUAGUCCAUCUAUCGUUGAGCAGAUCUUGAUCAGCUUGAAGCUGUUGCUGCUUCUUUUUCAGGCUCCUUGCAGUGGCUAUUAGCUGGCGCUUGAAGCGCUCCUGCUCGAGAGGUUCCUCAGGCAUGAUAAAAUCCUCGUUGCCGAGGAUCACCUCAUCCUCGGAGAGCGGAAGGUAGUUACUGUCCUCCGAGUCUUUGUUUACAGCCUGUUCAUCAGGGCUGACUCGCCCAUCUUCCCGCUCGUCUUGUUCGGAGGUUGGCUUAACGGGGUCUUCAUUGUCUUCGGCAUCGUCUAGAGUAUUGUUUUCUCCUGUGCCGGUAUUGUUGUCUUUUCCGCGGCGUGGCUUAGAGCAGCGCUGCUGACGUUAGCACUUUGGCUGUAUCUUAGGUGGCUUGUCCUCGACUGGAUCUUCCUUGUCAUCGCCGCUAUUCUCUUUGGGUGUAUCCACCAUGUACGCAUCAUACGAAGAGGUGGCCGUCCAGCGUCCGGUAAACGGCGGGUUUUGGGCCUGUUCUUCUCCGGCAUCAUCGUCCAUACCGUCGAUGUCUUCGGAGCCGUAAUUGAGCAUGUUGGUUAAGUCCUCGACAGUGGCUAUAAAGUGGGUGGUGGGUGGGACGUAAAAUUCCUUGCUCUCAGCCCCUAGUCCGGGUUGGGCAUAGUUCGAACGUUGCUUCUUUGUAAUGACAAGGGAUCGUAUUAAGUCGAGAGCCUCGCUUAAAGGCGAGGUUUGGCCCGAGAGAAGAGAGCACGUGGAGUACGACGAGAGGGAAACUCCUUGGCCGAACUCACAUGAUGCUGGUUCCGAGGAUUCGGAGCCAGUGUCCGGAGAAGGGUCCGGCUCCGUGAUGGCUGCCAGCGAUACUACUUCCCCCGGCCCUCCCACAAUGGGCCUAAUGGCCGCUGAUAGUCCGGCGAGCUCAGGGAGCCCGUCUUUGGACCUGGCGAUACGCUCCGGAUCUAAGGCCAGAGCAGAGGUUGAGGGCGCGAAUCCUUGGAAGAUCAAGUCUCCUCGGAUAUCAGCGACGUAGUCCAGAUUUCCAAAACCAAUCUGGUGUCCUGGGGCGUAGCUGUCGAUCUGCUCUAGAUGGCCAAGCGAGUUGGCCCGCAGUGCGAAGCCGCCAAACACAAAGAUCAGGCCGGGGAGGAAAGCCUCCCCCAAGGCAGCGUUGUUUUAGAUGAUUGAUGGAGCCAUCGAACCUUUUGGUGACGACGCAGCGGAACUCUCAAUGAAAGCACCAAUGUCGGUGUCAAGACUGGUGGAUCUCAGGUAGGGGGUCCCCAACUGUGCGUCUAAGGUCAAUGGUAACACGAGACGGGGGACACGAUGUUUCCCCAGGUUCGGGCCCUCUCUAUGGAGGUAGUACCCUACUUCCUGCUUGAUUGAUCUUGAUGAAUAUGAGUAUUACAAGAGUUGAUCUACCACGAGAUCGUAAUGGCUAAAACCCUAGAAGUCUAGCCUAUAUGAUUAUGAUUGCCUCUACGGACUAAACCCUCCAGUUUAUAUAGACACCGGAGGGGACUAGGGUUGUACAAAGUCGGUUACAGAGAAAGGAAUCUUCAUAUCCGAACGCCAAGCUUGUCGUCCACGCCAAGGAGAGUCCCAUCCGGACACGGGAGAAAGUCUUUUGUCUCGUACCUUCACGGCCCAUCAGUCCGGCCCACGUUACAUAGUCCGGACGCCCGAGGACCCCUUAAUCCAGGACUCCCUCACCCUCCGUGGUGAUGGGUUGUGGGGGAUGGAUCUGAGGUCCCUGCCCAGAUCCGGUGGAUGGUGGGGUUGGUGUUGGCAGCGGUGGCUGGCGGCCCAGGCGCGGUGGCGGCGAGUCUCGCGGCCUCUGGGCAUCGUGGAGGUGCCGGCGGCGGUGAGUGCUUAGCCUGGUGGUGGCGGCGGCCGUGCACGGGAGUUGGAUUCCUUCGAAUAGAUCUGGGUGAAAACUUGCUUUCGGCUAUUGCCAAGGCCGGCGGUGGCGGCGUUAUCUGCAUCGCUCCCUUCUUGAAGGCAUCGCCGUGGAGAAGUUCAAGGCCACUCUCUGCUACCUCUGAGGAAAACCCUAGAUCGGAUGAUCGGAUGACGGCGGCGAUCUAGUGUCGUUCCCCCUUUGGGCGUCAUUCUUGGAGGUGCACACGUGAUCGAGGGACUAGAGGAUGGAUUCUUUGGUGGACGGUGCUUCAUCUCACUCAUGAUGGCGGCGGAUCUCGGCGGCAUGGCGCUAUGGUGACUCGGCGUCCGAUGCGCGGAGAUGGACUCGCGCAGGAGGGUGACGCGGUCUGGCGUCGUGGUGGCAUCGACGGCAGCUAGACCGGACAAGGUAGAUGCAGCAGUAUAGUUCAGAAGAUGGAUUGGUGGCAGGUGGCUGCGGCGGCCUCAUACCCGGCAGGCGUCCUGGUUGAGGAGUGCGACGGAUGCCCCAUACCCGGCAAGCGUCCUGGAUGGGACCUCAGGUCUUAGAUGGUAGGUUUGGCUGCGAGGUAUGUUUGGUAUUAAGCCCAGACUAUCCGCAUCCCUUCAUCAAUUGGAUAGGAGUAGCGACAGAUGUUGCCUAGAUGGUGGCUUUAGUCUUACUGUUGUACUUGCUUUGUAAGGUCUUGUGUGAAUAAUUAAUAAAAUGGAUGCAUGCAUCGUUCAGAUGCAGAGGCCGGGGGUCUUCCUCCAUUUCUAAAAAAACCCUUGAGAUAUUCUAGCGGUGCCACAAUCUCGUUUCUCCAAACCCGAUGAACGCCUGCUAAUUUGUCCAUGUCGCAAAAGGCUACAGAAUGAAGAUGACUAACUUAUACGAGCAAAGUCACCCUCGAAUGAACGUUUUUUUAUUGAGGGAACGUGCCCCUGCAACGCAACUAGGAUCAGAUCGCACGAGGCGAUCAGGAGGCGACGAGGACCUUGCGCGCCGCCGGUGACGCCUCCGGUUCCCUCUCUCUCUGUCGGCCGCUCCGGCGGCGGGAGGGAGAGGGAACCUCGGGUCUGUUUGCUAGGUGGGUGUGUGGUAGGGUUAGGGUUGAGGAAGACGCUACCGAGGCCGUUGCGGUGGUGUCGCGUCGGAAUAAGUUUCUCCGGGCUCCGUUCGCGGUCAGGCGAGGCUUUUGCCUUCGACUAGGAGUCAGCGGGGUUGGGGAUCCCCGGGUCUCGUCGAGGUCGCGGGCUUUGGUGGCUGGAGGUCCAUCGGCACUGGCCGUUUGGGUCCUCAGAUGGGCGAUGGAUUCAGGGAGACAAAGAUCCUUCUUUUUCCCUGUUGGUAUUAUUUGCUGAUGUUGUUCUUCUCCUUCCUCUGUGCUGAUGCUGGUGGGAGAUCCUGCUUUGUCCGGACGGAUGGCCUGGUCGCCGUGCUGGACCUGUCGGAUGACUCGAGUUCUCUUCCCUCCGGAAGGGACACUUUUCGCGGUACUCAAAGCCAAAGAUGGCGACGGCUAUUGCACGUGUGUUGGAUUGAUGUCCAUGCCCUCUCAGCGCUGGUGUCAAGAAAAGAGGAAGCAACGUAGCGGCAAUUGUACCAUGGUCGAAGAUGAUGACCUGCUUGCGACUGGUUGCAGAUCCUUCUGCUGCAGGGGUCUUCUCUCAAGAUUCAGGGAUGAUGACACAGGGCUCCGGAGAUCUUUUUGUGUUAUAGUUGUCUUAGGGUACUCUAGGUGUUCAUGGUCCUUUGUGUUUGCGUUUCAGUGUGCUUGUAAGGGUCAACUUCUUUGUACUGAUUCGUGAUAUGAAUGAAAAAAUUCUAAAAAAAAAAGCCACCCCCGAAUGGGCCAUCCAAUGGACCGACCCAAUAGACUGCCCUAUCGACGUCUGGGUUACGCAAGACAGGUCCAAGGCCAGACCAGGCCGACCUAUUUCCAUAUUUACUGAACAGGGGUAUGAUUUUCAAUCCAUGCAUAUUUUCAUGGACAGGAAAUGAACAUCCAUUAGGCGUAAAUAUGAAUUUGAUAUUACUCGACCAUGUAUACCUGACCCAUUGCCACUCCGAUGAAAAACACUAGCUGCAAAAAAAAAAAAUCAAUCUCCUCUCCCCUCCAUUGCAGCCAUCGCUCCAGUGUCGUAAGGCGGAGGGGCGUCGAUUCCUUUCUCGGUGGUGCUUGGUGUGGUGUUGCUAAGGAGCCCGAAAGAUUUUAUCCUUGUUGUUCUUCAUGGAUAACGGGUUGGUUAUGUGUGCCUACAUGGCUACAUCGACAGGGUUCCAUGUGCAUCCGUGACUUCGACAACCUCUGACUUCAAACUUUUGCGAUGACGAUAGCCUCCUCCUCCUACUGUCGUUACACUAUAUAUAGUUGCUCCGAUCUUGUAUGGAUUGAUCCAAUGUAAAUUUAAUUUAAUUUCUGGAAAAACUGACACGUUAGUACCAUCCUUUAAUACUAAAAAUAUGUUUGGCCUAUUUUCUUCCUUUUUCAUUCCAUGCCGACACUUUCAGCUUUCAUUUUCCGAAGCAAACAUGACAGACUUUUGCUAGCGGAAAGAACGUGUUUCAGGGACUGUGUAUCCCCCGUGUGUCGUCGCUUCUACCUUGAGAACAAGCUGAGACGUGGCAUCCCGGACGCGUCCAGUAGCUGCACACGUCCGGCCUCUCUUAAUUGGCGAGUCACUAGUCACCGGCUCCCACCGGCCAACCCACUCAUGCAAGCACACGUAGCGCCUCCGGCGAUCCUAUCCCCUCGCCGCAAACGGCUUAUAAAUUGCGCCUCGUGCUGGACCUGCUUCCGCAACCACGAGCUGCAGACUAACUGAGGAAGACAACACACCAGAUUUCUGAGAUAAUCAAGAUCAACACCUGUGCAACAUGGAGCACGGCCAGGCGACGACUAACCGCGUCGACGAGUACGGCAACCCGGUGGCCGGACAUGGCGUCGGCACCGGCGCCGGCGCGGCUCACAAGACCGGAGGGAUCCUGCAGCGCUCCGGCAGCUCUAGUAGCUCCAGCUCGGUGCGUGUACAUAUACUUGUUGCUUCUUGCUAACACUAGUUGUAAUUUUUGCAUUUUUCUCGUGUACAUUUUGUAUGAAACAAUAAAUCAAUUGUCUGAUUUUUCUUCUUCCUGGUGCUAGUCUGAGGAUGAUGGCAUGGGUGGGAGGAGGAAGAAGGGCAUCAAGCAGAAGAUAAAGGAGAAGCUCCCUGGUGACCACGGUGACCAGCAGCAGACCGCUGGCACCUACGGCCAGCAGGGACACACCGGAAUGACCGGCACUGGGGCGCAUGGCACCACGGCCACUGGCGGCACCUACGGCCAGCAGGGACACGCCGGAAUGACCGGCACUGGGACGCACGGCACCGAUGGCACCGGCGAGAAGAAAGGCAUCAUGGACAAGAUCAAGGAGAAGCUUCCCGGACAGCACUGAGGCCCCCGCCCGCGGCCGCUACUUAUGAAAGUUUGAGGUGCCGGUCUGGCCACCUCUGCAGAAUAAUAGGAUGGAGAGAUACAGUUGAACUUCCCGAAAUAGAGUGAGCUACCUCACUUGUAAUAUCUGAGUUCUAAGUUUGGUGGACUUGAAUUUGGGUUGCUUGUAUGUAGCCGGGACGUUUUGUACUAUGUACUUUGAUGUGUAAAUUUUCUUUUGGUUGUACUGUGUGUGUAUGGGGAUGUAUAUCAUGGUAUAAUACA